rnacentral:misc_RNA from 1 species
AACGCACGAGACCUGCGGACCUGCGGAAGGAUCAUUACCGAGUUAUACAACUCAUCAACCCUGUGAACAUACCUAUAACGUUGCCUCGGCGGGAACAGACGGCCCCGUAACACGGGCCGCCCCCGCCAGAGGACCCCCUAACUCUGUUUCUAUAAUGUUUCUUCUGAGUAAACAAGCAAAUAAAUUAAAACUUUCAACAAUGGAUCUCU